rnacentral:rRNA from 1 species
UACGAAGGGGGGCUAGCGUUGUUCGGAAUUACUGGGCGUAAAGCGCGCGCAGGCGGCUCUUCAAGUCAGGGGUGAAAGCCCAGAGCUCAACUCUGGAACUGCCUUUGAGACUGAAGAGCUUGAGUACGGGAGAGGUGAGUGGAAUUCCCGAGUGAUAGAGGUGAAAUUCGUAGAUAUUGGGAAGAACACCGGUGGCGAAGGCGGCUCACUGGCCCGGUACUGACGCUCAGGCGCGA